rnacentral:rRNA from 1 species
AGUGAACGCUGGCGGCGUGCUUAACACAUGCAAGUCGAACGAGAACGGGUUAUAGCUUGCUAUAAUUGUCAACUAAGUGGCGCACGGGUGAGUAAUGUAUAGGUAAUAUGCCUCUUACUAAGGGAUAACAAAUGGAAACGUUUGCUAAUACCUUAUACUCCAUAUUAACAUAAGUUAAUAAGGGAAAGAUUUAUUGGUAAGAGAUUAGCCUGUAUUGUAUCAGUUAGUUGGUGGGGUAAUGGCUUACCAAGACUAUGACACAUAACUGGUUUGAGAGGAUGAUCAGUCACACUGGAACUGGUACACGGUCCAGACUCCUACGGGAGGCAGCAGUGGGGAAUAUUGCACAAUGGACGAAAGCCUGAUGCAGCAACGCCGCGUGGAGGAUGACACAUUUCGGUGCGUAAACUCCUUUUAUAUGAGAAGAUAAUGACGGUAUUAUAUGAAUAAGCACCGGCUAACUCCGUGCCAGCCGCCGCGGUAA